GGUCACCACUUCCACUUGAUUGUGUUCAAAUAUGUGUGAAACAAGACAGUGGGAGUCAGACAAAGCUUUGAAGAUGCAGUGCAUUGUGAGAUACAGUCUACUAUUGAUCAGCAUCUGUUUAAGCAGCCCUUCAUGGGCAACACUGCAGAAAGACACUGUUACAGUUUUAAAGGGAGCCGCUGGGAAGGAGAUCACCAUCCCAUGUGCUACUGACAAGAGCCCUCAGGAUGGGGUGCACAUGUUUAAAAUAGACAAAACAGAAAAGCAGAAAAUCUUCUACUAUUACAAAGAUGGCACUUUUUCCCCUGAAACACCUUACAAGUGCAAAGUAUAUGUAAGUGAAGAUCUCACCAACCUUAAUGCCACCUUUCUUAACCUGACUGACAGUGACAUUGGUUUGUACUGGUGCGAAUUCAACUGGGAAGACAAAAUUAACCAUAGCUCUUCAACUUGGUUAUGGGUGACAGAACCACCAGACUCAGAAAAAGAGUGCCCAAAAAAUCCGCCUUACUAUAUGAUGACAUUGCUUGUUGGGUGUAUCGUCAUUUUCCUGCUGUGCCUCAUUACUUUCUUCUAUGUAAUUCUAAAGGUGAAGGGUUGUUUUGAGUACAAGAAGUACACACCAGCAAUUCAGCCUACAGACUCAGUGUAUGAGGAUAUGAAAAGGAGCAAUCUGGAUUCCCAGGCCACUGCAAAGUCAUCCAUCAACCCUGAGUAUCAGUCUGCCACUCAUAGUAAUAAAAACAAAUGUUAUUGAUCAGUGCUUAAGUUGCAUUGCUCUCCAUUUGGAUUUGCAAUGCUUUUAAAAUAGAAUGAUUCAUUGCUUCAUAUUUUAGUUUAUUCAGCAUACUUUCCAUUUUUAUUUUAUGUGCAAUUUGUCUCCUUUGCCUUUCCUGUGAGUUUGAGUUAACACCAACCUUUGUUUGUGAGUGAACAUAAACCAUGUAUAUUUUAAUUACUUCAAGAACACAAAGUGUGGAAAAAAUGUAACCUUUUCGCACGAGUUUCUCCUGUACUGAAGGACCCCCCAGUGUGAGUUCUUUAAUUCGUGCUGUAGCCUAAUAAAAAAAAAAAAAAAAUCUUACUUUACGCUUCACAGCACUGAAGGACAAAUUAUAUAUUAUCAACAUAUAAUGUGGAUUUUAGAUGUUUAUAAUGAUUGAUUAUAAUAGAUGAAAUGCAAUCGUGAAUGUGCUUCAGGUGUUAUGGAUCAUCUAGGGAUUUUGUUAGCUGGGGAUGUACACGUGUAUGUGAAUAAUUUUACUUGCAUUUUCAGCAGACUUGUUCAGUGUGAAUGCCAAGGAGCUAGGAAAAGAUUUGAAAAAUGUUGGUAUUUUCUGAAGAACUUUCUAAUGCUUUCUUAUUAAACCGAGUUGUUUCAUCGAUGUCUGUUCUAAUGAAUUUGACACAGUUUAGGAGCAAUUUUAACAAUUUCACAGGGUAAUAUGGUUGCCCAUAUUAAUGUGGGACAUUGAAUGGGAACUGAGACACUUGUCAGAGCAGUAAAUCCCAAGUGGAAUUAUUUUAUAUGCAACACUAAAGCAUCAUAGGCUGAUAUGUGUCAAUAAUAUAUUUUCAAUUGCUUAUAUUUCUUUACAAUGAAUAAUGGCUUUAUUAACCAUAACAGUUUAAGUUACUUUCUCCUACCAGUAAAGAUUAACAAAAUGGACACUUAAUCUGAUAUUGGAUCGUGGUCCAGCGAUAAGUUUUUGGGUAGUGCACGUAACGACCUGGGUUCAAAUCCCGAUCAAUCAGGAUACAUUUAUAGCUUUGCUGCAGAUUAUAUUGUAUUUUUAACAGGUCUGUUAAAAUUAUUUUGUAAAACACAUAUACACAGACACAUUUUAUUUUAUUGUUUUAAAGAAAUCAAUCAAAAUUGACAUUGCAUCUGACAGCCAGUAAAUAUAGUAUAAUCUAUUGACUUUUCUGAGAAUGGUUGAAUUACUGAUAAAAAAAUAUUAACUAAGAUGUCCAUAGUUAAUAGGCGCCAAUGAUGACGUAAGCCUACAGGCCCUGGAUGGGAAUCUCAGACGGUUCCGGCAGGUGGUGGCGUUUUGCGGGCACAAGCACACCGCAACCGCCUUAUCCACCUGGGGAAUCACCGAGUACCCCCUGGCAGCCCCACCGUCAAGGGUAGUGAGAGAGGAGGAGCCCAUAAAUUGGGUCCAGGCAGUGAAGGGUGCCCACCACGAUCUCGUGAGCUCAUCAUGCACCUCCGGGAAGAAAGGAACUGGGGAAGGGCGUGGCCGUGAGUGGCGCUCUGAGCCCAGGAACCAAUCGUCGAGCUGCGAGGGUUCAGGGGGGAGUGGAGGGUUCCACUCCAGCCCGAUGCUCGCAGCUGCCCGGGCAAGCAUGGCCGCCAGCUUCGUGUCAGGCUGCGACUGGGCAACCACACCCGAGUGUGGCAUUCCAGUCGAGUCCUCGGCAUCAGACUGGAUGAGCCCGCUCUCCGAUGCUGCGAUCGAGAGCUCAUCCUCUUUGUGAGCCCCGAAUGAAAUCACGAACUCGCCCUGAGAUGAGCUGGCGGUCUCAUCCUAGAACUCAUCCAGGGCACAUGAAUGUACUGGGAAAUGGGAGGUCCGUGGGGGGUUUCCCGGUGGAGAAGCUCCCAUUGAGGUCCCCAAAUCGCCCCCAGUGCUAACCGCCGUGGCCUCAUACCUGUAGGUAGAAGGACCGAGGCGGGAAGCCGCUGGGGUGGCUUUCCCUCUGACGAAGGAAAGCCGCGACCACAAUGUUACCAUGGUCAUGUUCUCGCAAUGAGGACAUGACCCAUCCACGAACGAUGUCUCCACGUGGGCAGUGCCCUAGCACGUGAGACAGCGAUCGUGGCCGUCAGAAGUGGAGAAAUAGCGACCGCAAACAGGAAUUAUACACAGACGGAAUGGCAUCUUUAAAUAGACGCUCUGUCUGUGCCACUCUUUUAGUAGGAAAAUAUACUCUUUUAUUAGGAAAAAUAUACUCUUUUAGCUGCUGGAGUGCCCAGGGCAUUCUCUGCACACCACCGGUGCAAGAGGGGGAGAAACUGCUGUAAUGCGCUGUAAAUCCAACAGCUUUCGAGGUGAAUGGAUCGGCGGAGGAAUUCAGCUCGCUGAAACACAACCGCUCGGCUCUGAAGAAAAAAUCUGAAUGAGUGGUUGCAAGCCAGCUCCUUUUAUACCCAUAUGUCCGGGGGAGUGGCAUGCAAAUUCCACUCGCCAAUUCCCAUUGGCCUUUUCUCAAAUAUCAGAGGUGUUUGUGGCUCCCAAGGGCAACCCCUAGUGUCACUACAUCAACACAACAUCGAGAGAGUGACAGAUAGGGAACCUGUGAUGCUUUUACUGCGACACUUCAAUGUCUUCCAUGAGCACAUUUCAUGAAACACAAAAUGGGUCCAAAUUAAUUUUUUUGUUCUGUUUUUAUCACUGUAUAUAACUUGCAACCAGGGGCGAGGCCACAUAAGGGCCAGGUUGGCACUGGUCCACCCAGAUUGACGGCUGGUCCACCUAAUACAAGUAGCCAGUAUAUACUGAUAUUAUGCAAAUUGCAAAUAAAAUAAACUACAUUUUGUCACACACAAUAUAGCACAUAUUUAUGAUAAUCAUAUUUCUGUUAUAAAUAUAGUUAGAAAAAUUAGUUUUUAUUCAAAAUAGGAAAACUUUUACAUGAUUAUGGUGAAAUGAAAUGGGUCACAACACACUUCUCAGUGAUUCGCUCAUGUUAUGUGAUCUGCGCAGCGAUAUAUGCAGUAAUGCCUGUAAAUGUAUCCACUCAGCACCCAUAUAGGCCUAAAUGACCCACAACGUGUGGUUUGGUCUCACUAUCAUUUUAGUACAUUAACGUCAUUAAAGAGAACAUGCAAGAAACAGAUUUCACAGUGGCAGUGCAGUAGAAGUUUGUGUAGGUGGCAUGACAUUUAUGUGGUUUAAACAGCCACCUGCAACACACUCUCAUGAUCAAACAUGGCUGAGGGGACAUUUUGCCUGAACCAUCAUUUACUUUGCUUUUUUUUUUUAUUGCUCAUUUUCUCAUUGUUUUGUUUGCCAUAGGACAGCUUUUCAGAAAAAAGAGUUGUGAAACGCGAAAAGCACCAUAAAAAUGUUCAUAAAAAUAAUCCAUGCUAUUUGUGCACUAUAUUUUGGAUCUUCUGAUUCCGAUAAAUAAAAUGAUUAUUAUUGACUACAUUUAGCUGCCUGUUACAUGUUUUAUACUUGUAACAGUUUUAUUGGGUUUUUUUUCCCUCCCAUUUGCUGAGGUAUUGAGUUCUUACAAGCUGCUUUACACUUGCAAGUCAAAUUUUGGUUUUAAAAAUAGGCAAAAAGAAAAACAUUUUCCCUAAAAUUCUAUUUUCUCCUAAAGUCUAUUGUUUUAGAGAGAUGAAGGCUAUUCCAUGCAUUACUGUUUUGAAAAAAGAAUCUCUAACCAGGAUAGAGAGGGAAGUGGACGGCACAGAUGCACAACAAAAAGACAAGUAAAUCACAGUCUCUAGUUUGAAAAAAAGACUCCUCACAGGUCCUAAACUAGCAGCUUGUAAAUGCCAAAGACCUGCAUUGCUGCAAGAGGGUCCUUGGACAAACAGAAAAUUGUGAAGGGUUGUUUUGAGUACAAGAAGUACACACCAGCAAUUCAGCCUACAGACUCAGUGUAUGAGGAUAUGAAAAGGAGCAAUCUGGAUUCCCAGGCCACUGCAAAGUCAUCCAUCAACCCUGAGUAUCAGUCUGCCACUCAUAGUAAUAAAAACAAAUGUUAUUGAUCAGUGCUUAAGUUGCAUUGCUCUCCAUUUGGAUUUGCAAUGCUUUUAAAAUAGAAUGAUUCAUUGCUUCAUAUUUUAGUUUAUUCAGCAUACUUUCCAUUUUUAUUUUAUGUGCAAUUUUUCUCCUUUGCCUUUCCUGUGAGUUUGAGUUAACACCAACCUUUGUUUGUGAGUGAACAUAAACCAUGUAUAUUUUAAUUACUUCAAGAACACAAAGUGUGGAAAAAAUGUAACCUUUUCGCACGAGUUUCUCCUGUACUGAAGGACCCCCCAGUGUGAGUUCUUUAAUUCGUGCUGUAGCCUAAUAAAAAAAAAAAAAAAUCUUACUUUACGCUUCACAGCACUGAAGGACAAAUUAUAUAUUAUCAACAUAUAAUGUGGAUUUUAGAUGUUUAUAAUGAUUGAUUAUGAUAGAUGAAAUGCGAUCGUGAAUGUGCUUCAGGUGUUAUGGAUCAUCUAGGGAUUUUGUUAGCUGGGGAUGUACACGUGCAUGUGAAUAAUUUUACUUGCAUUUUCAGCAGACUUGUUCAAUGUGAAUGCCAAGGAGCUAGGAAAAGAUUUGAAAAAUGUUGGUAUUUUCUGAAGAACUUUCUAAUGCUUUCUUAUUAAACCGAGUUGUUUCAUCGAUGUCUGUUCUAAUGAAUUUGACACAGUUUAGGAGCAAUUUUAACAAUUUCACAGGGUAAUAUGGUUGCCCAUAUUAAUGUGGGACAUUGAAUGGGAACUGACAAUGACACUUGUCAGAGCAGUAAAUCCCAAGUGGAAUUAUUUUAUUUGCAACACUAAAGCAUCAUAGGUUGAUAUGUGUCAAUAAUAUAUUUUCAAUUUCUUAUAUUUCUUUACAAUGAAUAAUACCAUAACAGUUUGAGUUACUUUCUCCUACCAGUGAAGAUUAACAAAAUGGACAAUUAAUCUGAUAUUGGAUGGUGGUCCAGUGGUAAGUUUUUGGGUAGUGCACAUAACAACCUGGGUUCAAAUCCCGAUCAAUCAGGAUACAUUUAUAGCUUUGCUGCAGAUUACAUUGUAUUUUUAACAGGUCUGUUAAAAUUAUUUUGUAAAACACAUAUACACAGACACAUUUUAUUUUAUUGUUUUAAAGAAAUCAAUCAAAAUUGACAUUGCAUCUGACAGCCAGUAAAUAUAGUAUAAUCUAUUGACUUCUCUGAGAAUGGUUUAAUUACUGAUAAAAAAAAAUAUUAACUAAGUUGUCCAUAGUUAACAGGCUUUUAAAACUGUCAAAGAUUUAUGAUUGAAAAUCUUAAGAUUUUGCCAAACAAACAAAAUCAUUAUGUUUCUGAAGAACUUUGUAAUGCUUUCUUAGAGUACCAUUUAUUCUUACCCAUGGUCAAUUUGGCCUUUGUACUUGCUCUCCACAAAAAAUUACACUGAUCUGAAAGAUCAUCUUUUGGCCAUGUCAUGGGUACUCAUAUAAACAUACAAUACUGUCAUGCACAGAACCUUUAAAAUGUAAAGAUUCUAUUAUCACAAUUUAAAUCAAAAUGCAGGUGUUCACAAGGGAACUGAACUCAAGUCUAUUUGCAUGGUUAGCAAACACACUACCACUAGACUAACAGACCUUUCUAAUUAAAUGGGAAAAAUUGUUUAAUCAACUUUAUCAAGCUGUUUUUUUUUCUUUUCUUUUUUUUCUUUUUUUUAAAUAAAAGUCAUUUAAGAGUAUAGGCCUAUUGUUGACAGAUAUCAGCCUA